rnacentral:rRNA from 1 species
UAAACUACGAUUAGAUACCCUAUUAUUUUAAAUGUAAAUUAUUAAUACUUGAGUAGUACUAGAUAUGUUCUUGAAACUCAAAGAAUUUGGCGGUGUUUUAGUCCUUUCAGAGGAACCUGUCCCGUAAUCGAUAGUCCACGUUUUACCUUACUUAAUCUAGUUAUCAGCUUGUAUACCGCCGUCGUCAGAAUGUCCUUAGAGGGAGAUAAUUUUCUUAAUUUUAUAUUAGAAUUGAUGUCAGGUCAAGGUGCAGUUUAUGGUUAAGUGGAGAUGGGUUACAAUAGAAUUAUUUAUCACGGAUAAUAGAUGGCAGAAUUUAUUGGAAGGUGGAUUUGAUUGUAAUUUUUUUUAUUAAAUUUAAAUGAUUUUGGCUCUAAAACAUGUACACAUCGCCCGUCGCUCUUA